GGAGCGGUAGUUCAGUCGGUUAGAAUACCAAUUUUUCACGCCGGGGGUCGCGGGUUCGAGUCCCGUCCGCUCCGCCA
rnacentral:tRNA from 1 species